GUGUUCUAUCCUUCAUUCCACCGGAGUCUGUAUCUGUAUUUAACCAGAUUUCAGUGGUGUGAAGUGCAAAAGACA
rnacentral:pre_miRNA from 1 species